AAACUGCGAUAAGUAGUGUGAAUUGCAUUUAGUGAAUCAUCGAAUCUUUGAACGCACCCUGCACUCACUGGUAUUCCGGUGAGUACGCCUGUUUCAGUAUCAUUGAAAACACACAAUCAAAACAUUUUCUUUGGUUUGAUUGGCUUUGGGUCUAUCAAAAAGUUUGGCUUGUUUCUUACAAGCCAAGCGGCCUGAAAUAUAUUGUCUGGCUAAUUGCAUCGUUGAUGAUCGCUAUUAGACUUUGGCUUUUUUAAAUGAACUGGAGUUUGAUUAACCAGUUUUAGCUUUAGUCAAAUGGUCAUUGUAAAAAAAAUCUCGAUCUUGGCUAGGUGUUUAUAGCCGAAAAUUUUUUUUUGGCUAUAACCGAAACCAAUAUAAUCACAUUUAGUUAUCGAUCUGAAAUCAGGUGGGACUACCCGCUGAACUUAAGC
rnacentral:misc_RNA from 1 species